AAAGGCAGCCGGUAUGGAUCCAUCUGUUUUUUCACCACACAACAUGAUUUUGACGUAUAUGGCUUUUUGUCACUCUCUCCACAAAAAUCCUCUCAAGGCAUUUGUUUUCGAGAAGAAGCAGGAAGUGACGAUAGUAGCAGACGCCCACUCAAGCUGUCUUGUCUCUUUAUACUAGUUUUGCCUGUUGGAAGCUUCUGUGCAGCAGCCACGGAAGGACUGCCUCCGCAGGCCUUGUGGAUCGCCACAGGCCUUGUCAACAACGCUGAGGAGGUGGUUUGGCCGGGCUCUCCCCCCACCGGCCACCGGCGUCUGGCGACCCCACUUCGCACGUCGGCCUGCCGGCGACGGCUUCCGCAUCAGUUCAUCCACCAGCAACAGAUUUGAUUUAUGAAGUUUGAUCAUUAAGAACAGCGAGCAAAAAAAAGUUUCGCCUGACUCUACAUGAAAGCCAAGCACAAGACUGAAGCCAUUACUUAAGGCCAGGAAUGGAACUAAUGCAAGGAUGUACCAAGGACAAUGCACACCAGGGGAAACGGAGAACGUGAAAGUGUUCCUCCUCCGAAAGGUGUGCAAUGCCCUGCCCUCGUUUAACACCAGCGGUAGCUUUCU